rnacentral:rRNA from 1 species
UACGGAGGAUGCAAGCGUUAUCCGGAAUGAUUGGGCGUAAAGCGUCCGCAGGUGGCAAUGUAAGUCUGCUGUUAAAGAGUCUAGCUCAACUAGAUAAAAGCAGUGGAAACUACAUAGCUAGAGUACGUUCGGGGCAGAGGGAAUCCCUGGUGUAGCGGUGAAAUGCGUAGAGAUCAGGAAGAACACCAGUGGCGAAGGCGCUCUGCUAGGCCGUAACUGACACUGAGGGACGAAAGCUAGGGGAGCGAAUGGG